UAGGGAAUCUUCGGCAAUGGGGGAACCCUUACCGAGCAACGCCGCGUGAGUGAAGAAGGUUUUCGGAUCGUAAAGCUCUGUUGUUAAGGAAGAACGAGUGUGAGAAUGGAAAGUUCAUGCUGUGACGGUACUUAACCAGAAAGGGACGGCUAACUACGUUCCAGCAGCCGCGGUAAUACGUAGGUCCCGAGCGUUGUCCGGAUUUAUUGGGCGUAAAGCGAGCGCAGGCGGUUAGAAAAGUCUGAAGUGAAAGGCAGUGGCUCAACCAUUGUAGGCUUUGGAAACUGUUUAACUUGAGUGCAGAAGGGGAGAGUGGAAUUCCAUGUGUAGCGGUGAAAUGCGUAGAUAUAUGGAGGAACACCGGUGGCGAAAGCGGCUCUCUGGUCUGUAACUGACGCUGAGGCUCGAAAGCGUGGGGAGCGAACAGG
rnacentral:rRNA from 1 species